CUUCAAUUGAUGAGGAAUAAGCCAGAAAAUCCAUGAAGACCAGUUGAAAGGAGAAAGCAGUUGUCAACGAAUGUCCCGUCUCAUUACUCUUGCUGAAACUACAUCUUCUUAUUUGGUCAGAGCCAGCGGGCGGUGAUGACGACCAUCCUGAGCAGGUCAUUCCAUGCUCUGUAGGGUUCUAUUUGGGGUGGGAACACUGAGUCAGCUCACUUCCUCUCCACUCUGGUCGCAUCAGCAUGCUUCUGGUUAAAGGAGAAGAGAGAAGACGGAUGUGGCAAAAUGGGGAAGUUGGUUUUGUUUCAGGUUGCAG